AGUGAACGCUGGCGGUAGGCCUAACACAUGCAAGUCGAACGGCAGCACAGUAAGAGCUUGCUCUUACGGGUGGCGAGUGGCGGACGGGUGAGGAAUACAUCGGAAUCUACUUUUUCGUGGGGGAUAACGUAGGGAAACUUACGCUAAUACCGCAUACGACCUACGGGUGAAAGCAGGGGAUCUUCGGACCUUGCGCGAUUGAAUGGGCCGAUGUCGGAUUAGCUAGUUGGCGGGGUAAAGGCCCACCAAGGCGACGAUCCGUAGCUGGUCUGAGAGGAUGAUCAGCCACACUGGAACUGAGACACGGUCCAGACUCCUACGGGAGGCAGCAGCGGGGAAUAUUGGACAAUGGGCGCAAGCCUGAUCCAGCCAUACCGCGUGGGUGAAGAAGGCCUUCGGGUUGUAAAGCCCUUUUGUUGGGAAAGAAAAGCAGCAGGUUAAUACCCCGCUGUUCUGACGGUACCCAAAGAAUAAGCACCGGCUAACUUCGUG
rnacentral:rRNA from 1 species